UAGUACGUAUAUAUAUAUAUAUGCUCAUACAUAGGGCUACCUUCAGAUUUUAAGUUGCCUCUUAGUCCUUAUCUUAUUUACUAUCUUAGUCCCUAAUUUCCUAGCUCGCUACCCAAGUUACCACAAAAUAGAAAUCUGAAUUCCAAUUUGUUCCCUAUUGUGGAAGCUUCUUAAAUCAACUGCCAAAGAUUCCUUGUUACACUACCUAAAUUAACCUUGAAAUUCUCCUGAAAUUACUAACCCUAGCCCAUCUCUACCCUAGUUAACUAAAUAGUCCUAACUCAACUACAUCCAAACGUUCUAAGGUCUGAAUCAAAGGACCCAAAUAAUUCUGAAGGAUUUGAAUUAAUUAACUAAAUUCCAGCUCAUGAAACCCUACAAUUAUGCAAAAAAAUAG
rnacentral:lncRNA from 1 species